GGUUAAGGGCUUGUUCUGUGUUCUGCUCUUACAGAGGACCCGAAUUCAGUUCCCAUCGGCUCACAACAGCCGAUAACUGCAGCUCCUACAGCCUCUUCUGGACCUGGUGGGCACUUGCACUGUGGUUAUUCGGCUGUUCAGCGGAAGAUUAGAUUCUCCAGCCUGGCUUUGGUGUGAUGCAGGUCUUCCUGCCUGUGUGGCAAGCACUUUACCAAGUAAGCGCCUCCCAGCCCAUGGUGAUUAGUCCUGACUGCCAUCCUGGUAGCAUGGAGCCAAGUCUAGAUUGUGACGUUCACUUUGGGCGUGUCUGUGAGGGCGUGUCCAGAAAAACAGUUAGCCAGUGAGGAGAGCCAUCCCGAAUCCCAUCCCAUUGGCUGAGGGUCCAAAAGGAAUAAGUGAGAAAAACCUAGCGAGGGCUUGUCUCUCUCCUCCCUGUCAUGGCAUGGGCUAUCCUGCUCCAUCUCUCCCCACUCCACCCCCAGCACCUUGAUGGACAGAACUUGUGAAGCCUCAGGCUGACGGCGGUCCUCCGUCUGUUUAUCCCAGUCAUCUGAUCACAGCGGCAAGCGAGAAGCACAACACAGCCUCUGAUAAAGAAGUCUCAGCUCA